rnacentral:miRNA from 1 species
UCACAAUGGCCGCUGGGAUUAU